GACGAAUGCUGGCGGCGUGCUUAACACAUGCAAGUCGAACGGAAAGGCCCUACUUUUGUUGGGUGCUCGAGUGGCGAACGGGUGAGUGACACGUGUGUAACCUGUCCUUGUAUUUGGGAUAACUCCAGGAAACUGGGGCUAUAACAGGAUAGGAGCUUCUGCUGCACGGUGUGCGUUGGAAAGAGUCGGCGGUUGGGGCUGGUCUCGCGGCUUAUCCGCUGGUUGGUCUGGUAGGGGCUUCCCAAGCCUUUGAAGGAUAGGCGGCCUGAGAGGCGGACCGGGGUCCAUGGUACUGAGGGACGCCGCAGACUCGUACGGUAGGCAGCAGUGGGGAAUAUGGCGGAACGAGCGGACGCCUGAUGCGGCAGCGCCGCGUGCGUAAUAACGGCUUACUGGGUGUAAACCGCUGUCUCAGGUGACGAAGCGUGAGUGACGGUACUGAGUAAAGAAGCACCGGCUAACUACGUG
rnacentral:rRNA from 1 species